GAAGCCUUCGGGUGGAAGAUUUGUGGAUUGAGCGGCGGACGGGUGAGUAACACGUGGGCAACCUACCUAUAAGACUGGGAUAACUCGUGGAAACAGGAGCUAAUACCGGAUGUAUCGUUUGAACGCAUGUUCAAACAAAUAAAGGCGGCUUUACGGCUGUCACUUAUAGAUGGGCCCGCGGCGCAUUAGCUAGUUGGUGGGGUAAUGGCUCACCAAGGCGACGAUGCGUAGCCGACCUGAGAGGGUGAUCGGCCACACUGGGACUGAGACACGGCCCAGACUCCUACGGGAGGCAGCAGUAGGGAAUCUUCCGCAAUGGACGAAAGUCUGACGGAGCAACGCCGCGUGAACGAUGAAGGUUUUCGGAUCGUAAAGUUCUGUUGUUAGGGAAGAACACGUACCGUUCAAAUAGGGCGGUACCUUGACGGUACCUAACGAGAAAGCCCCGGCUAACUACGUGCCAGCAGCCGCGGUAAUACGUAGGGGGCAAGCGUUGUCCGGAAUUAUUGGGCGUAAAGCGCGCGCAGGCGGUCUUUUAAGUCUGAUGUGAAAUCUUGCGGCUCAACCGCAAGCGGUCAUUGGAAACUGGAAGACUUGAGUGCAGAAGAGGAGAGUGGAAUUCCAUGUGUAGCGGUGAAAUGCGUAGAUAUAUGG
rnacentral:rRNA from 1 species